GCUCCUGCUUUCACCAUGGGAAGCGCCUGCUCCUGCUUUGCCUUCUGUCAUGAGUAAAAGCUCCCUGAGGCCUCUCCAGAAGCAGAUGCCACUGUGCUUCCUGUACAGCCUGCAGAACUAAAAACUCAAGCUGGAGAGGGAAAUGAACAGAUGCAUAUGGCUGGAAAGACUCAGUACUAAUCUCUACAACGUUGUUUUAAUAGAACGGAGACAAGACCACAUACUUUCUUACAAUAACGAGGAUCAAUAAAGACAAAACUGACACUUUGUAAUGAAUAACGAUCUAAACACUCACCUGAGAAAGCAUCUCUUCGUUGCAGGUUUUUGGAAAUGGGCUAUAUUUUUUGAAUCAUAACCGAUAUGUACUGCCAUAAACAAGAGGAUUUCAAGCCAGCUCCAUAUGGUCGAAAAUUAUUUUAUUUAUUACUAAGAGAAAAGUGUAAGACAAGUCCUGUGGUAAAAACAGAUUUAUUGCCUCUGCUAUUCACCUGUGUUAUUUCUUCAUAUAUUACCAUUGACAUAUUUUAUCCAUUCUUCACAGCAAUGGCUUUGCCGUGGCAAAUUAAAUAUCUCAUUGUCCUUCUCUGUCCAUUUUG
rnacentral:lncRNA from 10 species